rnacentral:lncRNA from 1 species
CCCCUCCACCUCUCUCCUCGUCUCUCCAUGGUACGAACCCUCCUCCUCGCCUCCUCCUCCAAGUCCUCCUCCUCCGACACCACCACCACCGCCUCCCGUGACUCCCAUUCCUCCACGGAUUCCCACUCCUCCACAUCCAGUGACCUCCUUCUCCACCACCUCCCCGACUGCGACUCCUCCCGCCCCAGCUCCGCCACUGACGACGAAUUCAAAAGCCUAAACACCACCACCUCUUCACUCAAUUAUCCAAAAAAAUCAUCGAAAUACUUCUCCCUCUCUCGAUUCUCUUCGGUUUUUCGUAAAGAACCCAAAAACACAUCUUCAUCUUCAUCUUCAACCACACCUUCAUCAUCUGUGAAGCGUGUGAGUUCAACUGCUAGAGACGUCAUUCGAAAGUACUUGAAAAAAGUCAAGCCUUUAUACGAAAAACUCUCGCAAAAACAUCAACAGAAAAUUCCCUCAAAACCCGAUGGAUCCAUCGAAAAAACAUCUCAAAUCUCUGCGCAUGAAGAUUCUCGAAAAGAGAGCACCAAUGCAACAAUUUCACACUCAUUCUCGGGGAAUUUAAGAUAUCCCAGACGUAGAAAUUGCAUAGGUUCGAGCUGUCCAUCGUCCAUAAGAUCAUCACCGAGCCACUCUGGGGUUAUCAGUAAAAAGGGGUUCGCAGUUCAACCCGUGAACGGGUAUUCGGAUUCUUCUUCUUCCAUGGAGGAGUUGCAGAAUGCAAUCCAGGGUGCAAUCGCGCAUUGCAAGAGCUCUAUGAACAAGACUUUGGUCAGUAAUGAAAUCUGAAGAAUAAUUAGCCAAAAAAAAGUGUUUUUUGCUUGUUCGUUAAUUUGUUUUGGGGGUUGGAAGACUUAAAACUCUUUAACGUUUUCUCUUAACUUAAUUAUUAAUUAACCAGCAACGUAAUUUGCAAUGCACGUGAUACUAUUAUGGAUUUUACUUAUUUCUGGAUUUUCUUCUUUGUUUGAUGCAUGAAUAUGAACAAAUAUUGUGGGAGCCUAUGUUUUGGAAUCUUGAAUUUUGAUAUUGUCAGUGCAUCUAUCCUGAAUCUCUCAAGCUGUGUAUUAGAUCGGUUCAAAGAUUACUUUUAAAUUACCUUUUUUUCUUUUUGUGUCAACAUUCGCUCAUAAAAUCCAGAAAAAAAAGCAGCUUAAAAGGAAGUAACUUUUAUGCACUAUUUAACAUAUUACCCAUGAAAUUUUUGAAAUUUUGUAUUAUGGGUUUCUAAGUUCUGACUUCAAUAUAAAUUUUGCAUGUAGAAGAAUCUUCCAUGUGCAAUGUCAUGUAUAUUAAUUGUAGUAUCAGCUUUUCAUUAACUUGGUAAGUGGGUGACAUUAAUUAUGCGAGAGGACUUUGAAGUUUAAUAUGUGACAUGUGGAUUUUGUAACAUAUUCCAGUCCACCACCGUUCAUACCUCGUAAUUGCCGCCUUAAAUUCUACCAAAGGGUAGACUAGAAAUGUGCCCCUAGUCCUAGUCGUAGUCGUAGAAAAAAAUUGAAUUUCUCAAACUAGUACUAAAAAGGAUACCUUAAACUUCUUUGUGAUUAAUUCUCUCAUUAAUUAUUAAUAUGAGAAAAAUACAUAAUUAUCAUAGUUCAAAAUGCACUUUAAGUCCUUAUUUGAGCUCCAUUUUUUAUUUAUUAAAAUGCAUAUUUAAACAGUAAUAUGACUUCAUUUCAAUCAUACAUUCUUUAAUAAAAUAAUAUUACAUGUCAAUUCAAAAAAUUUUCUUAUUUUUUAAUCAUACAUUCUCAAUCAUAAUACUAUUGCAAAAUACAUUUUCUAAUAAGAAUGGGGCUCCAACAACCCAAUUUAAGAAAUUUGUGGAACUCUUUUCAGAAAUUAGGUGAUCAAAUUAAAGAAACUUGUUGAAUUCUUUCAAAAAUCACUUGAUCAAAUUCUUGUUACCCGUUUAUUAAUUAAAUAUUACAAUAACAUAUAAUUUAUGGUAACAAUUGCACACUAAUUACAAAUUAUACAACGUUAAAGUCAAAAGGACAUAAAAUAUGAAUAACAAUUACGAGUUUCAAGGGUAAUGGUGGGGAUUAAAGUUAAAUUUUUUAGUAGAUUGAAAAUUUGUGGAAUCCAUGAAAAAUGUAGUUAAUAUUAAUUAUUUGACUUUAACUUAAAUUGAAAUCAAAUUUUAAUCCGAGCCAAACAGGCUCUUAAUCACAAAUCACAUACUUUUAUAUGUCAUAAUUUAUUUAUUGAUUACAAAUUACCUAUAAUUAACCAAAUAAUUAGUCAAAAAUGCUCUUUAUCCUCCACAACACUCACUUCACCACCACCAUCAACACCACCCAAAUACUACCGCCACCUCACAACAUCGCUACCACCACCACCGCUGCCACCCCACCACCACCAUUAGUACCAACACCAACACUAUCGACAACCAAAACGAAUUGGAAACCAAGUUUGCCGCCGAAAAACACGAAAAAGACUUACUGAAAGUCGUCGAAAAAUGACCCAACACAUAGAAUAGUCACCGAAAGUUUUGAUGAACACAGAUAUUCAAAAGCAAGAAAGUGAAAUUUUGCAAAAGUAAAAACUUGCAAAGGAAAGGGGGAACGCCUUUUAUGGAAGCCUUGCAUGAUCUCCGCCGUUGAAUUCAAAACCAAAUGAUCUGGGCCGUACAUCGAAUCAUAACUCUACACCGUUAAAACGAAACAUCAAAUUCGAUCAACGCACAGAAAACGAAACAUCAAAUUCGAUCAACGCACAUGUUCUUGCAGUGAUUUUCAUGAAAGUCCAAAGCGCUUUACCUUGAGCCUCAACAGCUGUCUGCUAUGAGUAGUAGAAGCACCCUUUCCUGGUAAAUAGACGUCACAUCUAACUGUUCUCCUUGGAAACAUGCGAGAGCUUUCAAAUCAUUGCCUACCCCGGAGAAGAACACGCUUCGGCUCCCAUCAAUCAAUUAAAAGUUUUAGCCAUCUUCCAUGCAUCGUCCCUUGUGGGUUAGCGCCUAGGUCAAGAUGAGCUCAAUCAAUUAAAAGCUUUAGUCGUUUUCCACGCGUCGUCCCCUGUGGGUCAGCGCCUCGGUUGAGAUGAGCUUAAUCAAUUAAAAGCUUUAGCUAUCUCCCACGCGUCGUCCCUUGUGGGCUAACGCCUCAGUUAAGAUGGGUUUAUCUACUUAAAAGCUUUAACAUACAUGCAAUCUAAGAACCAACCAUACAUUUAGAUCUUAAAAGUCCGCUGAUGAUAUGAAUAUUCGUCCCUAAACUUGGGGGACCACUAUUACGCCCCUAACAUAUUACCAAAGUGAUAUGGUCCGAGGCGUAUUAUUAUCAAAGUGAUACAGUUUGAGACUUUACAUGGCCAAAGUAAUAUCAUCCGAACCGUUUAUUCAAAAGUGCGAAGAGGCGCCACGUCUCGGAGAAAAGAGACACCUCUCCGUCGCUAAUUUCAGAGAUCUUCUGUUCAAGAUUUUUGUUGUAUCUUUAUGAAUGAUUGAUGUGACAUCUCUGUCAUAUAUCAUCUCCGAAUUAAUUGUCCGGCCACCUAGGAAGCGAUUAAUAGACGCCUACGAGCACACGCCUCACACCGACGGACGAUCACACGUGUUAUACAUCUAGCAUUGCCCUUUGCCUAUAAAUACCAAAGGUUUGGGCAAGAGUAAGGAUAAGCAUUCCUUAACAAAGUAAUUAUAUUUUCUCCUCCCCAAAUUUAGCUUGGGCAUUUUGGUGUCAUCGCCACCACCGUCGACUGACUUUUAUCGUCGGAGUGUAUGUGGCUGCCACCACUACCACCGUGACUGACCAUAUACACCUGACAGUUUGUUGUUGCACGCAAGGGAGGAAAAUGUGGAAUAGCUCACUAUUAGCCACAUGCAAGAUCCAAUUCGCGAGGUUAACAACAAUGGUUUGCUCCCAACCGCUCCUUCCCUCAAAAAACAAUUUGCUCUUCACUUAAUCCUCUAGUUUUGCUACCUACUCUCCCUGCUCCUUCAGUUCGUCGCCCGUUCCUCUCAUUGGGAUUGGAUCCAUCACUCUUCUCGUUGUCCUCAAAAAAUGUGGACAACAGAAAUUUUUUUCAAUUUCUAUUUGAAGGGUUGUUGUGGUGUGGGGCAGUGAUAUUUGAAAUUGAAAGUUGAAAGGUAGAAUUUGGAGUAAUUUUUUUGCUUAGAAUUUAAUUUUCCUUGUCCUAUUAAUUUGAGUCCAAUCUUGAGUAUAAUUCAAGUGGGCUCAACAUAGGGCGUAUAGAGGGUGGUUGCCUUGGUCAAUCAAUAAGGGCUUGUCAUUAAACAAUUAUAAUUAAUUAAUUAAUGAUACUUCAAUUAUUAAUUUGGUAGACAUAUAAUUUGAUAGAUCUAGGUGAGUGUACCUUGUGACAUAAUUUUGUACUGUAUUGUUGGUCCACCGAUCAGCCUAGGGUGGCACUACUUUGACAUGGACGUGUGAUCUCACUUACUUUCAUCAAAUUUUUGUUACUUGAAAUGGUCGAUUUAUUACAUUUAUUAAUAUUAAUAAUUCAAGCCGAAUCAUUAAUCUUGAAUAGUUAGAUGAGUAAGUUAUGAUGACCAUAAUACAUGAUGUGUUGAAUAUUAACAUUUAGGGAUUUUAUUGAAAUUAAAAGAAGAGAAGAGUAUUCUCUUAUCUUGAUUUUAAGAACAAAGAAAUCCAUGAAUUGAAAUCUUGAUGCAUUAGACACAAAUGGUCGACUGGAGAAGACACUUUUCACUCUCCUUUCUAGACUAGAUAUUAAGUUCAAUCCCAUAGCAAAGAAGCCUAAUUCUGAUCUAAUUACAUUUUUCAUUGCAUCGUUAGGAAUAACAAAGUGGUCGAAAGAUUGUGUAGACUUGUUAAUACACAAGCUAUACCAAAUUAACUAUUACUUUUAGAUUAUUUCAAGGUCGAUUAUUUGUGUAAUUUUUUUAACUGCUCAAUUUCUUUAGUGUCUAAGUUUAGUAAAUGAUUAAUAGAAAUAAGAAAAGUUCUAUGAUCAUAUCAAAUUUUUGUCUCGACUUUGUAGUAAUGCAUUGAAUCCAUGCAACCAAAAAACAUGGCAUAUUUUCUUAAGUUUAUCUCAAUUUAAUUUAUUAUGCGUGUGUUUGAUACAAAAUACUGAACUAAACUCAAUUAACACUACCCACUCUACCAAAUAUGCCAUGUAAGUGUAUCUUAGUAUUCGACAUUUUAUUUUGCCUGUUGAGCUCAAUUUGACCAGGCCACAAAUAGAGAAAAAGUCCAAUUAUGCUUCCAUCCAAACACUGCCUUAGAGUGGGUAUUGGAUGUUUUGGGUCCACAACACCGGUACCAGUAAUGUACGCGAGCCAAUCAGGAAGCCUUUUAGAUAUCUUUUCCACUUGUCAAUUAAAAGAGGCUCCACUUCUAUGGGGAUGGACACAGACAAGUCAUAUGCAUAUGUACCUUUCAACCGACAUGGGAGAUUCAUUCACACGCACACCUUCCAUUCAAAGUGUUAGCGUCAAAAAUUGUAUAUUUUAAUAUCAAGUACGAAAUGCUACAAUUUUGAAGGGAAAUGCUACGUGGGCUCCUCUCUUGUGAGGAGAGUGAACACUAAAAUGUACUUAGAACAAAAUCUAAUUUUGAAUUGCUUAAAAUAAGUGCAUGGAGCGAUGACCCCACCCCAUAGUCCUGACACAUCAUCAUCAAUUAUUAAAAGGGCAUAAAUUAAUUGUGCACAACCUAAAAAUUAAUCGCUCAAGCAUCGAUAUGGGAAGAAUCCACUUUAGACUUAUUCGUAUUCCAUGAUCAACUUCUUUUCGUGUAUUCUACCCUUAAGAAAUUAACCACCUCCAUGAAAGAGAGAUGCCUUAAACGAUUAGAAUAUGGGAGCCGACUUGUUCAACCGCCCUCAUACUAUGAUCAUAGUAUGUACACUUUUUUGAAAUUGAGGUGUUCGUGUUUGUGUUGUAUUUGAUUAGAAUAGAGAAGUAACCCUAGUUUAGAUUGGAAUUGCAAAAUAAAACCCUACUUUGUCGAGGAUUGAAAUGGUAAAUUGAGAGUACAACUCUUGUUAGUAUUUCUUUUGCAUUACCACAAGAUAAUCGAUUAAAUUAUUUGACUAACAAAUAAAUUAGAUGGUUUCAAUUUGAACAUCACAAUAUCAAUUUAAUGAAGACUUGGAGCAUCCUAAUCAUUAGAGAUUGAUUGUGCAAGUUUAAUUAAAAUUAUGGUAUAAAUCUACCUCUUUCAAUAUUAAGGACCAACUCGGUGGACUAAUGAUGCAAAUUAUCCCCCAAAAAAUUAUUUUGAUCCGAUUGUACACCUGUAAUGAGAAUAGAAUACCAAAUAGCUCUCUUUUAAAAGUAGGGAUUAACUUGCUAUUUGGACAAUAAGUUGGACCGACGUUGCAAAUUAUUUCUUCACAAAAGAAAAGUUGAAGCCGUUAACGGAAACGCUAGAAGGAGGGCUUGAACCUCCGACCUUGUGGUUAACAGCCACACGCUCUAACCAACUGAGCUAUUCCAGCUUGUUGUCCUUUUUGAUUAGGAUAUAAAAUAAUAUAAAAAAUUUAAAGAACCCUCUGGGCUAGCGCUCACGUCAUGGCCCCCACAAAAUAGGAAUGUGAUGCCAAACUUCUCUGGAUUUUGCAUUACAUAAUUUUCAGUUACUUAGCAAUCAAGCCCUUGUUUGAUUCUUAUUAUUUGGCCACAAAAAUAAAAAAUAUGAUUAUUAUCUAUCACAUCAAGCCACCAUAUUUAUUUCUUGUUUGGAUUCUAUAACGACUAUAUUUUUUAUUCUCAUUCUUUCAAAAAUGGGCAUCAAACGAGGCCCAAGGCGUUGAAUUUAUGAUACUGCUUGACAUGUGUUUAUAUUUUAAAUACCAUAAUUGAACCUAUUCUUAUCUAAAACUUUAAUAAAAUUCCCAAGUAUUAUCCAUUUUUUUCACCACUCGUUUCUAUUUUUUUAUAAUUUAAAUUGAUAAUAUAUUUUUUUCUUUGUCCAAUCCGACGCUUGAAUGUCUAAAAACAAUAUUUUCUAUUAUUCAUUCACCUUAAAGCCUUACUAAAAUAAAAGGAAACUCAGAAGGAGAGUCGAUAAAUCAAUCCAUUUAACCCAUAUCUUACACAAACAAUAAUAAAGUCAAGAGCAGCAUUUGCAAAUUGGUUACACAUUUACUAAAGAAAGUUGUUACAGCUUCAUUGCUUUCGCUUUUUCCUCUAUGAAUCACAUCAAGCUUGAUCUCCUCCUCCUAUAUGCUCUCCAUGUCAAUUCAUUCAACCCUCCUUCCAAACUUUCACAGCCAUUUCUUUGAGAACUUUCAGCUUCAUACUCCUUGUACCUUUGAGAUGUCCAGCCAAUUGUAUCUUCACUCUUUGCCUCGCUUACGAGAGAACCAGUUUCACUCUUCAACUCUGCAGCUUCUUUCUCACUUAUGGAGUUACUAGUUCCGGUAUUACCAGGAAAUUCAUCGUUCAAGACCAUAGGAUUCUCUCUCCUUUUUACAGGAGGUUUAGAUAAGUCUUCUCCGUUUUCCACAGCCCUCAUCCAUUGCAAGUCAGUAAGUGUAUCAUCUCGGAUCACCUCUUUCCUGCGUCUCUUUCCAAGAACGGUGAAAUUGUCAAAUCCUUUCCCCCUGCUCUCUUUCAUAUCAGGCACAGUAUAUACCCAAUCUGGUACCUCGUGUUCUUCCAUGAGACGAGAUCUGUAAUUCUCCUUCUGCCUUCUUUCUUCAUCCAUUUUCUCGAACAACCAAAACUCCUCAUCUGAUCGUGCAGCAAGACGAUUUAUUUCUCUCUCACUUGGUACAUCCGUUCCGAGUGAGCUUGUACCUUUGUGCAUAAUCUCUUCCAACAUCUCUCUCCUGUCUUGAGCUGCAUAAACAAUGAGAGAGUGGGAAAGAAAACAGUGAAGUACAUUGUUGACUGAGACAACUAUAGUUGGGCCCUAGCCUUAAAUUAUAGUAGCACAAUCAGUUACUAAUGACAGAAACUGUCCAAGUAUCUGUUUAAUCCUCAUCUGGUCCUCAUGUCCAACUCUAUGAAGCUGGGUUUAACUUCCCAACUUGAGCUGGAGAACAGAAAUUUGAAGUGAAGCAAUAAGGUAUGUUUCCAUGAGGAUCUACUAAAAAUUUAACAAAGAUUUGGACAGUUUUUGUCAUUGAGGACUGAUGGUACAACAUGUAUUUGAAGGUUGGCGACCAACUUUCCCCUUUUAAAAGGUUGGGGGAAAAUAGGUAACCUAUGGUGCAAGUUUCCCUUAAAUCUUCAAAAGGGACAAACCUGUGGAAGUUGUAUUGAACAAUCCUGCCUGGAUGACCUUGGCAUCAAUGCCCAUUUUCUGCUUGGCUCGUUCUAAGAUAACCUCUUCAAUUGAUCCAACACUGACAAGAACAAAAACUCUCACCUCCUUCUUCUGCCCAAUGCGAUGUGCUCUAUCCUCAGCUUGUUGGUCCAUCUGAGGGUUCCAGUCACUGUCAAAAAUUAUCACAGUAUCUGCAGACUGCAAAUUCAGACCAAGUCCUCCAGCACGAGUGCUUAGAAGAAAUAUGAAAUAAGGAGAGUCUGGAGCAUUAAAUUUUUUUAGCAAUUCGCCCCUGUCUUCUGUUUUAGUUGAGCCAUCUAGUCUAAGAAACUUGUAACCAUGUAAUUCCAGAUAAUACCCAAGAAUGGUCAUAAGCCGUGUCAUCUGAGAGAAAAGGAGGACUCUAUGCCCAGCUUUAUGAAGCUUGGGGAGUAAGCGAUCAAGAAGCUCAAACUUUCCUGAUGAUCUGAAAAUCUCCUCUCUGCGCAGCAUAUUAUAAUCGCCUAGAAAUAAGUAUGGGUGGUUACAACAUUUCCUGAGCUGCAUUGUCAGGUUUUGUAGGCUUUUGGACUUUCCAGUUCCUGGAAAUUCACGCCAUCAGUAAUGAGAUUAGCUAAUAAGAAAAAGGUAAUAACCUCAAGAGAGGAAAGUGCCAUGCCCCAACAAAGGUUGCACAGAUUUUAUAAUUCAUUCUAUUGCAAACUACUAAAUAGAAAGAAAAACAACAUUUUUCUUAUCCUACUAUUACCAGAAGAGUGGAAGGUGAGAAAACCAAGAGAUCGAAUUGAUAAAACAGAAGAAUAUAAUCAUAGAUCAUCGAGAAGCAGCACAGAUUGUAAAACAUAAAAACGGACAGUUCAUUUCAAUAUCAAGGUCUUCUUGAGCAACUUUGGUUCUUACAAGAAAUGAAGCCAAUAAAUAACAUGUGGCACUUUCUUGGUCCAUAACAAUGUCCGGCAGACUAACUAAAAACUAUUAUACAUUUUUAUUGAAAAUUAUAACAAAACACAAGUCUACCAAUACUCCUUUUAAUUUCUUUGAAUACGAGUGUUCGCUGCAAACCGGACUUCAUCGUAUAGUGAUUACGAAGUAACUAAAACACAUGCAAGACAUUUUAUUGGUGACGAACAUGACUCUGCAUCAAGACAAAGUAGUUAAACAGUAAAACAAUCCAGAGACAGGUCACUGCCUUAGAGAUAAAAUAAUACCAGAGAGAGAGAAAGAGAGGCAGCAGCAAAUUGAAAACUUACCACCAGCCAACCCAACCCUGCCCACAUCUGUUACUUGCUGAUAAUAUACUCUCUGCCAGGCAGACAUGUCACAUUUAAGUAUGACUUGACAUUUAGUAGGAAGGAACUUCUCCACCUCAUCUUUCUUCCUCCUCAAUAUGAACGGCCUUAUGACCUGGGGAUACAUUAGAACGAAUGGGAAAGGAAUAAAAAUGUUACCAUCAGAAAUUCGAAUAGCAUAACGAACAACACACGAUAAAACCAAUACCUACAUGGUGCAAUCGCCGAAUGACUAAUAAUUGUUCUUCAUCUGUCAAACUGACGUCACAUUUGUCCGCAAAGGGCGCAUUAAACCACUCCUCAAAAUUUUCAACUGAAUUAAAUAUAGUUGGAAGGAGAAAAUUAAGCAAAGACCAUAAUUCCUGCAAGCUAUUUUGUAUGGGAGUACCAGUCAGCAGAAGUCUCCGCCGAAUUCGAUAGCUGUCCAGAUCAAGAAUCAAUUAGAAAAUCACUACCAUCUGAUAUUAAUAAUGAUUUUUGAUGAUGCUAUGCAUUUAAGGAUAUUAAAUGCUUGGGUCAGGUCAGAUUAAAUGCAACAUACCCAGAGACAAGAGUGCGUGCAAGAACAGAGUCGGAAUUUUUAAGUCGAUGUCCUUCGUCAACAAUCAGGUAGUACCAGUGAAUUUUCUUCAAGAAUGCUUUAUCUCUAAUAAUAAGAUCAUAAUGGGUGAUCAAAACAUUGAACUUCCCUUCUCCUGAAUACUCUUCUCUCAUUGCCUUUCUGUCCUCCAGUCGCCCAUCAUAAAGAACAGCAGCAACACUAAAAGCAGAAAGUCUAUGAGCACUAAUGCAUUUAUACGGAAACUAGUUAUAAGGGUCGUGGCAGGGAGGAUGGUAGGAUAUGCAUACCUAGGAGCCCAAGUUGAAAAUUCAUUGAUCCAAUUUGGAAGGACAGCCUUUGGGGCCACAAUCAAGUGGGGCCCGGUAACACCUUUGUUUUCGAUGAGAUAAGCAAUCAGAGAUAUUGCCUGAAUUGUCUUACCCAACCCCAUUUCAUCUGCUAAAAUUCCAUUUAAGUUGUUAUUGAACAAAGACAGCAUCCAUUGAAGGCCCUCUAACUGAUACGGUCUUAACUCUCCACCUUGAAGCAUAGCUGGUUGCUCCGUCACCUACAAAGACUCUUGAAAGGUUAGAAUAGAUAUUCACAAAAUAAAUAUUAUAACUAGGAAAGUAUACCCAAUUACGCGAUAUUAUCAGAAUAUCAUGCACAAGCACAAACCAGAUGCAGCCAAACUUUGGCCAUCCAAGACAUGCCCUCAUGCUUGAAAAUCCAGAAAAUCCCAUUGCUGUUGGUAUGAAGAGGGUUCCUAAAUUUUCCGGGGCAGUUUGGAUCCAUUUUAAUGAGAUGGAAAUAUAUAAAGGGAAGUGUUCCCAAGGAACAAGAAAAUGCAGGAAAUAUUUUGUUGCACUUGAGUAUUUCUCAUGAUAUUUGUACUUAGACAACACAAAGAAAUUUAAAAUACUUACCCUCAAUUUCCCUUCUUUUUUUCACUCCUCCACAUCCAGUGACCUCCUUCUCCACCACCUCCCCGACUGCGACUCCUCCCGCCCCAGCUCCGCCACUGACGACGAAUUCAAAAGCCUAAACACCACCACCUCUUCACUCAAUUAUCCAAAAAAAUCAUCGAAAUACUUCUCCCUCUCUCGAUUCUCUUCGGUUUUUCGUAAAGAAC